rnacentral:rRNA from 1 species
AUUGAACGCUGGCGGCAGGCUUAACACAUGCAAGUCGAGCGGGGUGAUGGUGCUUGCACUAUCACUUAGCGGCGGACGGGUGAGUAAUGCUUAGGAAUCUGCCUAUUAGUGGGGGACAACAUCUCGAAAGGGAUGCUAAUACCGCAUACAUCCUACGGGAGAAAGCAGGGGAUCACUUGUGACCUUGCGCUAAUAGAUGAGCCUAAGUCGGAUUAGCUAGUUGGUGGGGUAAAGGCCCACCAAGGCGACGAUCUGUAGCGGGUCUGAGAGGAUGAUCCGCCACACUGGGACUGGGACACGGCCCAGACUCCUACGGGAGGCAGCAGUGGGGAAUAUUGGACAAUGGGGGGAACCCUGAUCCAGCCAUGCCGCGUGUGUGAAGAAGGCCUUAUGGUUGUAAAGCACUUUAAGCGAGGAGGAGGCUCUUUUGGUUAAUACCCAAGAUGAGUGGACGUUACUCGCAGAAUAAGCACCGGCUAACUCUGUGCCAGCCGCCGCCGUAA